ACAAUGUAUGAGAGGUCUUGCCUGCCCAGUGACUACAAGUUAAACGGCCGCGGUAUUUUGACCGUGCAAAGGUAGCGCAAUCACUUGUCUUUUAAAUGAAGACCUGUAUGAAUGGUGGAACGAGGGCUUAACUGUCUCCCCCUUCAAGUCAAUGAAAUUGAUCUCCCCGUGCAGAAGCGGGCAUAACAAUACAAGACGAGAAGACCCUUUGGAGCUUGAGAUGCAAGAUCAACUAUGUCAAAAUCUUCGGUUGGGGCGACCACGGGAGACAACAAAGCUCCCACGCGGACUGGGGGAAAAACUAAGAGAGACAUCUCUAAGUCGCAGAAUAUCUGACCAACCUGCCGAUCAACGGACCAAGUUACCCUAGGGAUAACAGCGCAAUCCCCUUCCAGAGUUCAUAUCGACAAGGGGGUUUACGACCUCGAUGUUGGAUCAGGACAUCCUAAUGGUGCAGCCGCUAUUA
rnacentral:rRNA from 1 species